AACUUCAACUCAGAUGAAGCUGGUAGAAUUUUCCCCGAUGAAGAUCUUAAGUGCAUCAAAGAGCUCAAGGUAUGUGAACUUCAAACAGCUUCUCCAUUUCUGGUAUACAUUGUGUUUCCCAAUAACUUCAAAUAGUAUCAAAGAACUUAGAGUACUUAUUUUUUUUCAAAACUAAAAUUGCUCUUCAGUGGACAUUUUACUGAAAGUGUAUGUCUGAGUUUGAGGCAAAGAAAGAAGCAAAAGCUGACUUUGGUUCAACAUGGGCUAAGCAAAGGGCGACACAAGAUCAGUGACCUUCAAGAGCAGCUAUAAAACAGAAAAAGGUAGCCCGGUAACCUUGUUUUACCAUAGGCUACAUGUUGGUGGGUUGUGAAAAUGUGACCUCGAGCAGUUCCAGAUAAGAUGCCUGAACUUUUAUUCCUUAUCAGAUUACGUUCUUGUUGGCGGCUGUUAUAGACUGGUGGCUCGACCAAAAAGCAGAAACAACAGCAGAAGAGGAUGCCUCUCGCAGCAAAGAGAGCAAAGGCGGCGCAUUCCCGCCAAGAGAAGAACACCAAAGCGAAGCACCCGGGGAAGCAAUUCAGGGCCCUGAAGGCCUGGAAAUGAGGCUUCUUUGCAGUUGUCGUGGCCCAGUGCGCGAAAUUUCUACCGUUGUGUAGAUGUCUUUCUUCAACUUCAUAGUCAUUUGUUUCGGAAAGAGUUGAGCCUAUUGUUCCCUGCACGAUUCAACCUGUUCUGAGACGGUUUCCCUUCAUGCCCUGCUAAUCAAUCAAACACGCUUCAACAAUUACUUCACAGAAUAGUAUACACAAGCAAGUGGCACUUAGCAAGAAUCCAUCCUUUGUUGUCAAUAUUCAGGGUAAUCAACAUUUCUCAAGCACCUGCACCUGCAAUGAUAUUGAUAUCAUCUGCUGGAGUCCUAGAACAUGUCUUGUUGUUUUGCCACAAUAUAUUGUAAAGUUCUUCAAGACAACAUGAAGAAAUGAAAAGGUUGGAUUGCUCGACAGGAGCUGCGGGGAGAUGGACAGCGGUGAAAGAAGUACCCAGACAGAUGCAACUCGUGAAUUUGUUUUUCUUAAGUUACCUUGCUGCCAUGUACUCUCUCCGUAAACAAAUGUAAGAUGUUCUAACUCUUCUCUGACUCGAAUAUACAAAGACGCAUUUUGGUGUAGUUCAUAUGUGGUCUUCUUUUGGUCUACAGAGGGAUACACAUUAGUUUCAACUGCUAUUGUUGUGUAACUUUUAGCCUUUAGGUCCAGAGAAAAACUUUUGUGUACGGGUUUUUAUUUCAAAAAACAAACUCCCUCCAUCCCAAAAUAAGUGUCUCAACUUUAAACUAACUCUAGUACAAAAUUGUACUCCCUCCGUUCCUAAAUAUAAGACCUUUUAGAGAUUACACUAUGGAAUAUAUACGGAUGUAUAUAGACAUAUUUUAGAGUAUAGAUUCACUCAUUUUACUCCGUAUGUAGUCUAUAGCGUAAUCUCUAGAAGGUCUUAUAUUUAGGAACGAAGGGAGUAUUAAGUUUGAGACAUUUAUUUUGGGACGGAGGAAAUAUAAACUAAAAUUGUUUGGAGUGGUUAAUCUUUAUCUACAGGUCUGUGAGGACUGAAAGAUAAUGUCUCAUUGCCAAAUUAAACGCAGCAAUCAAAGGCCAGUUCAGCAUCCAGCCAGUAAUUAUUACCAUCUAUCCAGGGAAUAAUUUUACUGAGCCCUCUGAUCUGUGCAACAGAGAGAGGAUACAGAGAAGACCAACCACAAACAAAUCAGACAAGACAUGAGAAUGGCAAGUUUGGGUAUCACACAACAAAUCAGGUACAGAACUAGUAAUAGACUCAUCACAUGAUACCUGAAGGUUCCAAUUCAACCGCCCCACUCAACAAUCAGGAAAAAGAAGAAGAAAUCAAAAGCCUCAGUUUGUCCUAGCAAAAUUAUGGCAACAUGUUCGCCGCCAGUCGCCGAAUUAGACAGUGUAGCAGCUAGCCUCUUCUCGCGAAUCGCAUCGCACGAAGAGGAUGAUACGAAAAGAAUCCGUUAAGAAACAGGGUCGAUUAUAGUAGUAUGUGGGUGUCACCCGGCCGAUGAAGGGUCGGUCCACCGGCGAUUUCAGCGGUGCGCCGUGACGAGCGUCUCGAUGAACCGCAGCCCGUCGAACCUCGGCGCGAACCUGUCGUCCCGGCCGCCCGACGACGAGGAUCC
rnacentral:lncRNA from 1 species